ensembl:snRNA U4 U4 spliceosomal RNA
AGCUUUGCACAGUGGCAGUAUCGUAGCCAGUGAAGUUUAUCCAAGGUGCGAUUAUUGCUCAUUGAAAAGAACAGGUGAGCCAGGUAAAGAAUUAGACUCCAGGGCUACAGGACUAAGGAUAUUUAUGAGUUCGUCCAACCUUCAGUGAAUAUCUUAGUAUGUAUACCUCAGUUUUCUCACUAGCAGAAUGGAGAUUUUUUUUAAAA